rnacentral:rRNA from 1 species
UACAGAGGUCUCAAGCGUUGUUCGGAUUCAUUGGGCGUAAAGGGUGCGUAGGCGGCGCGGUAAGUCGGGGUGUGAAAUCUUGGAGCUUAACUCCGAAACUGCAUUCGAUACUGCCGUGCUUGAGGACUGGAGAGGAGACUGGAAUUUACGGUGUAGCGGUGAAAUGCGUAGAUAUCGUAAGGAAGACCAGUGGCGAAGGCGGGUCUCUGGACAGUUCC